GACGAACGCUGGCGGCGUGCUUAACACAUGCAAGUCGAGCGGUAAGGCCCUUUCGGGGGUACGACGAGCGGCGAACGGGUGAGUAACACAUGGGUGACCUGCCCUCAGCUCUGGGAUAAGCCUGGGAAACCGGGGUCUAAUACUGGAUAUGACUCCAUGACGCAUGUUGUGGGGUGGAAAGCCUUGUGCGGCUGAGGAUGGGCCCGCGGCCUAUCAGCUUGUUGGUGGGGUGGAUGGCCUACCAAGGCGACGACGGGUAGCCGGCCUGAGAGGGCGACCGGCCACACUGGGACUGAGACACGGCCCAGACUCCUACGGGAGGCAGCAGUGGGGAAUCUUGCGCAAUGGGCGAAAGCCUGACGCAGCGACGCCGCGUGAGGGAUGACGGCCU
rnacentral:rRNA from 1 species